AACGAACGCUGGCGGCAGGCUUAACACAUGCAAGUCGAGCGCCCCGCAAGGGGAGCGGCAGACGGGUGAGUAACACGUGGGAACGUACCUUUUGCUACGGAAUAGCUCCGGGAAACUGGAAUUAAUACCGUAUGUGCCCUUCGGGGGAAAGAUUUAUCGGCAAAAGAUCGGCCCGCGUCUGAUUAGCUAGUUGGUGGGGUAAUGGCCUACCAAGGCGACGAUCAGUAGCUGGUCUGAGAGGAUGAUCAGCCACACUGGGACUGAGACACGGCCCAGACUCCUACGGGAGGCAGCAGUGGGGAAUAUUGGACAAUGGGCGCAAGCCUGAUCCAGCCAUGCCGCGUGAGUGAUGAAGGCCUUAGGGUUGUAAAGCUCUUUCGCUAGGGAAGAUAAUGACGGUACCUAGAGAAGAAGCCCCGGCUAACUUCAUGCCAGCCGCCGCUGUAAUAC
rnacentral:rRNA from 1 species